AGUGAACGCUGGCGGUAGGCCUAACACAUGCAAGUCGAACGGCAGCACAGUAAGAGCUUGCUCUUACGGGUGGCGAGUGGCGGACGGGUGAGGAAUACAUCGGAAUCUACUUUUUCGUGGGGGAUAACGUAGGGAAACUUACGCUAAUACCGCAUACGACCUACGGGUGAAAGCAGGGGAUCUUCGGACCUUGCGCGAUUGAAUGAGCCGAUGUCGGAUUAGCUAGUUGGCGGGGUAAAGGCCCACCAAGGCGACGAUCCGUAGCUGGUCUGAGAGGAUGAUCAGCCACACUGGAACUGAGACACGGUCCAGACUCCUACGGGAGGCAGCAGUGGGGAAUAGUGGACAAUGGGCGCAAGCCUGAUCCAGCCAUACCGCGUGGGUGAAGAAGGCCUUCGGGUUGUAAAGACCUUUUGUUGGGAAAGAAAAGCAGCAGGUUAAUACCCCGCUGUUCUGACGGUACCCAAAGAAUAAGCACCGGCUAACUUCGUG
rnacentral:rRNA from 1 species